GAAGGUAGAUGAUGGAGAAAAAUCUUAUCCUACAUACUGAAUUAAAUUUUAGAUGUGGAUUAAAACUCCGCUUAUUAUCUGAUGCCUUU
rfam:Jatropha curcas cultivar GZQX0401 scaffold159_49, whole genome shotgun sequence.